CAGAGAUGGAGAGGAGAGCUUUCCAGAUAAAUCAGUUUACUUGCUCUGGGCUCACUUCCCAUUACCCUCCCUAUUGGAAAAGCACUCCCUGGGGGAAGGAAAUGAAGGACUGAGAAAGACUUGCAGGAAAUUUCGAGAGCACAGUGCAUUGCUGCUAACUGUAUUCACCAUCCUGCACAGUGGACUUCUUGAAUGUACUCAUCUUUUCUAAUAGAAGCCUUGUCUCCUUGGACCAAUACCUCAGCCCUGGAACUCCAUCACACCUUCUAAUCUAGCUCUUAGCAACUCUCUUUGUUCUCUGCUUCUAUGAGUUCUUUCAAACGUCUUAGAGAAAGAUGAGGUCACGAGGGCAUGCUGUAUUUGCUUCCUUGCUUAUAGGCCCAGGUUGUCACAGAUGUCAGUCAGGAUUCCAUAUGUGAGAAGGGCAGCUACAUGUCUUACUCCAACUACUACAGAUGUUGUGAACACCUUGAGUGAAACCCACUUCUGGACCUGUGCAGACAGUUUCCUGGUAUGUGUGGGCACAUGCAAAUGCUGAGAAAACUAAGAAAGCGCUAAAAUCCAGGGGCUGAAAAAUGUAAGAGGAUUGCAACUUCUAAAACAAGGCUUCAGGCAUGAGCAGCUAGGAGCCUGUGAAGGGAAGGAAGUCUCAUUUGAAGCCAACUGGACACACCCAUAACUAUUAAAAUAAUGUUUCUCUGUUUGGAUUUAGUAAAUGGCCUCAAGUUCCUGGGAACAUGUGCAGAGACCCUGCAUCCAUGGGAAGACCUGUUGGGUUAUUUUUUACAGUAGACCGAGAUAUAUUUGGAAGUCACUGGACUGUGGCUGUUUUACAUCAAAAGGCAUGUUACAACAGAAGAGCGCCAUGCCCCAUUUACAGGGACAGCAUGCAAAGCUCUGGCUGCUGAGGGCAAAUAAAAUGUGUUCUUGUAACAUAAACAGCCUCACCUUCCCUCUGAGGACCGAAGGGCCAUGAAAGAUUUAUUUAUGUGGGUUUUUGAAACAUGAGGACACGUGCAAAAACAUGUUAAACAUACAUCCAAACACAUAGACAGUCAGGGAGACUAGUAGGUACAGAAGAGUGAUUGUCCUAAGUAAAAUCUAAAUUCUAGAAUCUAAUGGUAGAUAAUAUUGGAGAAGAAAAUAUCAGAGGCACAAAAGAACAGUAGAAGGCUUCUAAGUUCAGGCAUUUCAUUAUUCUUUGCUUUGCUCCCUAGUGAUUUUCAGAAAGGUAAAGUGAAAGUCAAAUCAAAAUUAAACUCCUCAUCUUAAAUGUCUUAAUAUAUAGAUCCAGGGUAUCACAUAUAUUCAUAAUUUUGAAUAACUAUCAUCACCAUCCAUCUCUAUCCGUUUCUUGUAAAACCAAAAAUUUAUAGUCAAUAAACACUUAAGCUUCGUUCCUCAACAACCCCAGAUUCUGGACCACCAUAACUUUUACUUCUGUAACCGCUAUUAUCAAGUGUAAUGGCUUACCUUGGUUGCCAACCUGACAUACUAGGAAGAAGAAAACUAUCAAAAAAUUAUCUCCAUCAAGUGAGCAUUCAUUGAAAAGUGGUGGUGGGGGUUCUUGAUUGCUGAUUGACACAUUAAAGGCUUAGCCCACUAUGGGUGGAUCCAGGUAUAUGAGCUCAGCUGGAUAACAUAGGUAAGCUCAGAAGCAAGAAAGUAAGCCGCACACCUCCAUGGUCUUUGCUUCACAUUCCUUCUCUGCUUCUCUUGAUGACUAAAUUGUAUGAUGAUAUAAGCCUUUUCUUCCCCAAGAUGCUUUUGGUCAUGGUUUUGAUCAUAACAGGAAGCAAACUAGGAUACUGUGUGUGUCAAAUAAAUGCAACCUUACAAUAUCUGUCUUUCUAUGACUGGCUAUGUCACGCAACAUAAAGGCCUCAGGUGACU